rnacentral:lncRNA from 1 species
ACAACGAGUUUGGACUCGUUAUCAAAAGAUUUCAAAAGUUCAUGCGCAAGGAGUAUGAACGCAAAGGGAAAAAGCAAGGAGAAAUAAAAUGCUACGAAUACGGAGAAACCGGGCACAUCAAGUCAAAUUGCCCAAACCUCAAAAAGGAAAAGAAACCCUUUAAAAAGCAACGCGCAUAUAUUUCUUGGGGAGGUGACUCCGGAGAUGAGUCAAGUGAAGGAGAAGAAGACGAAGCAACAAAUCUUUGCCUCAUGGCACAAGAAGAUAACAAAGACGAAGUAUGUCAAAUUUCAUCUCAAAACUUCUUUACUCUUGAUGAAAUGCGAA